rnacentral:rRNA from 1 species
UACGGAGGGGGGCAAGCGUUGUUCGGAAUUAUUGGGCGUAAAGGGUGCGUAGGCGGUUUUGUAAGUCUUGUGUGAAAUCUUCAGGCUCAACUUGAAGACUGCACGAGAAACUGCAGGGCUUGAGUGUGGGAGAGGUGAGUGGAAUUCCUGGUGUAGCGGUGAAAUGCGUAGAUAUCAGGAGGAACACCUGUGGCGAAAGCGGCUCACUGGACCACAACUGACGCUGAUGCACGAAAGCUAGGGGAGCAAACAGG